rnacentral:rRNA from 1 species
AUUGAACGCUGGCGGCAGGCUUAACACACGCAAGUCGAGCGGGGUGAUGGUGCUUGCACUAUCACUUAGCGGCGGACGGGUGAGUAAUGCUUAGGAAUCUGCCAAUUAGUGGGGGACAACAUCUCGAAAGGGAUGCUAAUACCGCAUACGUCCUACGGGAGAAAGCAGGGGAUCACUUGUGACCUUGCGCUAAUAGAUGAGCCUAAGUCGGAUUAGCUAGUUGGUGGGGUAAAGGCCUACCAAGGCGACGAUCUGUAGCGGGUCUGAGAGGAUGAUCCGCCACACUGGGACUGAGACACGGCCCAGACUACUACGGGAGGCAGCAGUGGGGAAUAUUGGACAAUGGGGGGAACCCUGAUCCAGCCAUGCCGCGUGUGUGAAGAAGGCCUUAUGGUUGUAAAGCACUUUAAGCGAGGAGGAGGCUCUUUUGGUUAAUACCCAAGAUGAGUGGACGUUACUCGCAGAAUAAGCACCGGCUAACUCUGUGCCAGCCGCCGCCGUAA